UUGAGAGUCCUGAAGACAAGUACUAUCUCUUUCUCCACAGAAUAGCCAUAGGCAGAACAGCUAUAGGCAGUAUAGGCUUCCCCACAUCGUCGUGCCCACACUCUUCAACUUUGUCAUUAAGAACACUUCUAGACGUGAGAGAAUAGUUCAGUCUCCAUGCACUUCAGUCCUUGGGCUCU
rnacentral:sRNA from 1 species